GACGAACGCUGGCGGCGUGCCUAAUACAUGCAAGUCGAACGCACUCUCGUUUAGAUUGAAGGAGCUUGCUCCUGAUUGAUAAACAUUUGAGUGAGUGGCGGACGGGUGAGUAACACGUGGGUAACCUGCCCUAAAGUGGGGGAUAACAUUUGGAAACAGAUGCUAAUACCGCAUAAAACCUAACACCGCAUGGUGUAAGGGUUGAAAGAUGGUUUCGGCUAUCACUUUAGGAUGGACCCGCGGUGCAUUAGUUAGUUGGUGAGGUAAAGGCUCACCAAGACCGUGAUGCAUAGCCGACCUGAGAGGGUAAUCGGCCACACUGGGACUGAGACACGGCCCAGACUCCUACGGGAGGCAGCAGUAGGGAAUCUUCCACAAUGGACGAAAGUCUGAUGGAGCAACGCCGCGUGAGUGAAGAAGGUUUCGGAUCGUAAAACUCUGUUGUUGGAGAAGAAUGUAUCUGAUAGUAACUGAUCAGGUAGUGACGGUAUCCAACCAGAAAG
rnacentral:rRNA from 1 species